rnacentral:hammerhead_ribozyme from 1 species
AGCUAGAAGACGGGUCCCAAAUAGGACGAAAUGCGCAUCCUGGAU